CUUUAUGCCACCACAGAAGGUAUGGAAUGAAGCAAUCAAGAUGUAAUUGAAGUGCCGUGUGUCAGGAUUAAUUCAAGGGUUUUAACAAAAAUGUUGUAUGAACUGUUAAGAAUUUCAGCAUUUUUUAUUAUACAGAACUCCACUCAGAUUUAUGGGACUUAAUGUAAUGGAACAAAAUAACAAUAACAAAAAAAAACAUACAAAGUCUGUAUUUCCUAUUAGGGAUCAACAGAUAUUGAUUUUUUUAGAGCCGAUACCGAUAAUCUGUUAACUUCCAGGCCGAUAUAAUUUGCCGAUAUUCUGUACAUUUACCAUUUUGAAAAAAACAAAAAAACAAUUUCUAAAGGUAAAUGCACAAAAUAUACAUGCCACAUGUAGUGGAUGCAGUGUGUUUAGACAUGGGAGCAGUGUGUGUUUGUGACGUGUGUGUGUAAUGGAUGCAGUGUGUUUGUCUAGUGUGUAGUGUGUAUAUAAUGAAAGCAGAGUGUUUGUGUAGUGUAUGGGUAGUGUGCGUAAAGUGAAUGCUGUAUAUACUUGUGACGAGACCAAUCUCGCCACAUUGCAUUGGAGAAGCCUGGUUGCUCGC